UACAGAGGUGGCAAGCGUUGUUCGGAAUUACUGGGCGUAAAGGGCGCGUAGGCGGCCAUCUAAGUCAGACGUGAAAUCCCCCGGCUUAACCUGGGAACUGCGUCUGAUACUGGACGGCUUGAGUGCGGGAGAGGGAUGUGGAAUUCCAGGUGUAGCGGUGAAAUGCGUAGAUAUCUGGAGGAACACCGGUGGCGAAGGCGGCAUCCUGGACCGACACUGACGCUGAGGCGCGAAAGCGUGGGGAGCAAACAGG
rnacentral:rRNA from 1 species